CCUGGAGUCAUGCUGCAGGCUUGGUUUUACAGCAGAUCAGGCACUAGUGGAUUGAUUGCUGUGCACUGAGUGCUGCUGUAGGUGACGUUAGGGAAGCAUGGAUAAGCACAGAAGCCACAGCAUGAAUGCAGUGACCUAUGAUGAUGUGCAAAUCCACUUCACCCAGGAGUGUGGGCUUUGCUGAAUCCUUCCCAGAAAGAAUCUACAAAGAUGUGAUGCUGGACACCUACAGAAACAUCAUUGAAGUAGUGUAUUUUAGGCUACAGUUGGGAAGACCAAAAUUUUGAAGAAUAUUGCCAAAGUUCUAGAAGACAUAGAAGGUAAAAAUGCAGCCAUACUUGGAAGGAACCCUGUGAAUAAACUCAAUGUGUUAAAACCUGUGUGUGUUACAGGCAUCUUCAACAGCAUGAGAAAACUAAUACUGGAUAGAAACCAUAUGAAAGUCUUCAAUAUGGUGAAGUCUUUCCAUGUCACAGUUGUCUACAACUCCUUAAAAGAACACAUACUGGAGGGAAAACACAUGAAUGUAAUCAAAGUGGUAAACCUUUUGCAAGUUAUAUAAGAACAUAUAUUUGCAAAAAAACCCUGCAGAUAUAAUCUGUGUGGUAAAGGCUUUGCAAGUAACAGUGUGCUCAAAACAUAUAUUGGGGAGAGACCUUGUGGAUAUAAUCAAUGUGGUAAAGCACAUGCAAGGCGUGGUCAUC